rnacentral:rRNA from 1 species
GACAAACGCUGGCGGCGUGCUUAACACAUGCAAGUCGAACGGAAAGGCCCCUUUGGGGGUACUCGAGUGGCGAACGGGUGAGUAACACGUGAGUAACCUGCCCUUGACUUCGGGAUAACUUCAGGAAACUGGGGCUAAUACCGGAUAGGAAUCCUUGCUGCAUGGUGGGGGUUGGAAAGCUUCGGCGGUUUUGGAUGGACUCACGGCUUAUCAGCUUGUUGGUGGGGUAAGGGCUUACCAAGGCUUGUACGGGUAGCCGGCCUGGGAGGGCGGCCGGCCACAGUGGGACUGAGAUAAGGCCCAGACUCCUACGGGAGGCAGCAGUGGGGAAGAUUGCACAAGGGGCGGAAGCCUGAUGCAGCAACGCCGCGUGCGGGAGGACGGCCUUCGGGUUGGAAAACGCUUUCAGCAGGGGCGAAGCUUGUGGUGACGGUACCUGCAGAAGAAGCACCGGCUAACUACGUG